ACUCAAAGGAAUUGACGGGCACCCGCACAAGCGGUGGAGCAUGCUGUUUAAUUCGAAGGUACGCGAAGAACCUUACCAGGGCUUGACAUCCCUCUGACCGAUCUGGAAACAGAUUUUUCUCCCUCGGGAGACAGAGGUGACAGGUGGUGCAUGGUUGUCGUCAGCUCGUGUCGUGAGAUGUUUGGUUAAGUCCAAUAACGAGCGCAACCCUUCUCCUUAGUUGCUAACAUUCAGUUGAGAACUCUAAGGAUACUGCCGGUGACAAACCGGAGGAAGGUGGGGAUGAGGUCAAAUCAUCAUGCCCCUUACGUCCUGGGCUACAGGCGUGCUACAAUGGCCGGUAUAGAAAGAAGCAAUAUCGUAAGAUGGAGCAAAUCUCCAAAGCCGGUCCCAGUUCGGAUUGAGGUCUGCAACUCGACCUCAUGAAGUUGGAAUCGCUAGUAAUGGCAAAUCAGAAUGUUGCCGUGAAUACGUUCCCGGGUGUUGUACACACCGCCCGU
rnacentral:rRNA from 1 species